AAAAGUCGUAACAAGGUUUCCGUAGGUGAACCUGCGGAAGGAUCAUUAACAAAUCAAAACACAUCCAUGAUCCAAAACGUCGCUGCCUCUAACCAGGCAGUGGCCUUUGGUAUCUAUACAUCAUUCUUAAAUAUAUACACACUACAACUAUUUUGACCAAGACGUGGGCGCAAGCUCAUGCAACGAUCUAUAAUGGUAAACAACUUUUAACAAUGGAUCUCUUGGCUCUUG
rnacentral:misc_RNA from 1 species